rnacentral:lncRNA from 1 species
CCGCGGAUCCGAUAGGGUGAUAGAGAUGAACCGGAAGCUGAUCUCCAAGGCCUGCAGGGUCGGUUUGAGGAUGGAUUCGUUCUUCCACCCGGGGAAAUUUUUGGAGUUCCAGAGCUUGGAGAGCUCUGGAAGGAGGAGGUACUGCUCGUAAGCGCAAGUAGCGGAGGCGCCUUGGAUUUGUGGUGAAGAGGUAGCGGAGAGGCAUGGAUUUCUGUGCGAUCUAGCGGGUAUCCCGGUUGUUGCCAUAUUUCCUGUUUUCCGCUCCAAAUCGAUCAUCAGCGACGUGCGAGAAUGAAAUUAGGGAAGAUCCGAU